UACGUAGGGUGCAAGCGCUGUCCGGAAUUAUUGGGCGUAAAGAGCUCGUAGGCGGUUUGUCGCGUCUGCUGUGAAAAUCCAGGGCUUAACCCUGGACCUGCAGUGGGUACGGGCAGACUGGAGUGCGGUAGGGGAGAUCGGAAUUCCUGGUGUAGCGGUGAAAUGCGCAGAUAUCAGGAGGAACACCGGUGGCGAAGGCGGAUCUCUGGGCCGUAGCUGACGCUGAGGAGCGAAAGCAUGGGGAGCGAACAGG
rnacentral:rRNA from 1 species